CGAACAUGGCGGCUGCGCAGGCGCCGCCAGUCAGUGGCCAGGAGCGGCGGCGGCAGCAACAGGAGGCGAUCUCGCGAGAGGCGAGGCCAAAACCCUGCCUCGCUAGCGCAGGGAGAAGUCGCACCAGUCGGAGCGCAGAGGGACACGCAGACAUUUCAGCAGAGGCCUCAAAGGCAGAACAAAAUAGUGCAAGGAGCCGCACAUCCGCACAGUGCUGAGACCCUGCCCAGGACAAGCUUGGCCGCAGUAUUCCCUUUGGCACCCCCACCCACCUGGAACAAAGCCUGAUGUAAAGUCUGGGUGCGACUCAGACCGGCCUGGGAAAGAAUUUAUUUAAUAAAUGGUGGAAAGUGGCUUCCUUGACGUGUCUUCGAUGGCUUUUUUAUAAAGCAUUUGGUUUGUCUACUCGUCUGUUUUUGCGCCAUCUCUUUCCACAAAGAUGGCUUAUAGCAGGGAUACUUACAACAAAAUGAUGCUGGGAAAACAAAAACAAAGAAGUAGAGAAUUAGGCCUGAG
rnacentral:lncRNA from 1 species